AUUGAACGCUGGCGGCGUGUUUAACACAUGCAAGUCGAUCGGUAACGCGGGGGCAACCCUGGCGACGAGAGGCGGACGGGUGAGGAACGCUUGGGAAUCUGCCCUUCAGCGGGGGACAACCCGGGGAAACCCGGGAUAAUACCGCAUACGCUCCACGGAGGAAAGCCGGGGACCGCAAGGCCUGGCACUGAAGGAUGAGCCCAAGUCGGAUUAGCUAGUUGUCGGGGUAACGGCCCACCAAGGCGACGAUCCGUAGCUGGUCUGAGCGGACGAUCAGCCACACUUGGAGUGAGACACGGCCCAGACGCCUACGGGAGGCAGCAGUGGGGAAUAUUGGACAAUGGGGGAAACCCUGAUCCAGCGACGCCGCGUGGGUGAAGAAGGCCUGCGGGUUGUAAAGCCCUUUCGGUAGGGACGAAAGCUCUCGACCUAACACGUCGGGAGGAUGACUUAACCUACAAAAGAAGCACCGGCUAACUCUGUGCCAGCCGCCGCGGUAACAC
rnacentral:rRNA from 1 species